rnacentral:rRNA from 1 species
AGUGAACGCUGGCGGUAGGCCUAACACAUGCAAGUCGAACGGCAGCACAGUAAGAGCUUGCUCUUACGGGUGGCGAGUGGCGGACGGGUGAGGAAUACAUCGGAAUCUACUUUUUCGUGGGGGAUAACGUAGGGAAACUUACGCUAAUACCGCAUACGACCUACGGGUGAAAGCAGGGGAUCUUCGGACCUUGCGCGAUUGAAUGAGCCGAUGUCGGAUUAGCUAGUUGGCGGGGUAAAGGCCCACCAAGGCGACGAUCCGUAGCUGGUCUGAGAGGAUGAUCAGCCACACUGGAACUGAGACACGGUCCAGACGCCUACGGGAGGCAGCAGUGGGGAAUAUUGGACAAUGGGCACAAGCCUGAUCCAGCCAUACCGCGUGGGUGAAGAAGGCCUUCGGGUUGUAAAGCCCUUUUGUUGGGAAAGAAAAGCAGCAGGUUAAUACCCCGCUGUUCUGACGGUACCCAAAGAAUAAGCACCGGCUAACUUCGUG